GGUCGGCGGAUGUUGCUUUUAGGACUCCGCCGGCACCUUAUGAGAAAUCAAAGUCUUUGGGUUCCGUGGGGAGUAUGGUCGCAAGGCUGAAACUUAAAGGAAUUGACGGAAGGGCACCACCAGGAGUGGAGCCUGCGGCUU
rnacentral:ncRNA from 1 species